UGGGGAAUUUUGGACAAUGGGCGAAAGCCUGAUCCAGCAAUGCCGCGUGUGUGAAGAAGGCCUUCGGGUUGUAAAGCACUUUUGUCCGGAAAGAAAUCCUUGGCUCUAAUACAGUCGGGGGAUGACGGUACCGGAAGAAUAAGCACCGGCUAACUACGUGCCAGCAGCCGCGGUAAUACGUAGGGUGCAAGCGUUAAUCGGAAUUACUGGGCGUAAAGCGUGCGCAGGCGGUUUGCUAAGACCGAUGUGAAAUCCCCGGGCUCAACCUGGGAACUGCAUUGGUGACUGGCAGGCUAGAGUAUGGCAGAGGGGGGUAGAAUUCCACGUGUAGCAGUGAAAUGCGUAGAGAUGUGGAGGAAUACCGAUGGCGAAGGCAGCCCCCUGGGCCAAUACUGACGCUCAUGCACGAAAGCGUGGGGAGCAAACAGGAUUAGAUACCCUGGUAGUCCACGCCCUAAACGAUGUCAACUAGUUGUUGGGAUCAUUCCUUAGUAACGUAGCUAACGCGUGAAGUUGACCGCCUGGGGAGUAC
rnacentral:rRNA from 1 species